GAUCCUGGCUCGGAUUGAACGCUGGCGGCAGGCCUAACACAUGCAAGUCGAACGGUAACAGGAAGCAGCUUGCUGCUUUGCUGACGAGUGGCGGACGGGUGAGUAAUGUCUGGGAAACUGCCUGAUGGAGGGGGAUAACUACUGGAAACGGUAGCUAAUACCGCAUAACGUCGCAAGACCAAAGAGGGGGGACCUUCGGGCCGUCUUGCCAUCGGAUGUGCCCAGAUGGGAUUAGCUAGUAGGUGGGG
rnacentral:rRNA from 1 species